AUUGAACGCUGGCGGCAGGCCUAACACAUGCAAGUCGAACGAGUGGCGGACGGGUGAGUAAUGUCUGGGAAACUGCCUGAUGGCGGGGGAUAACUACUGGAAACGGUAGCUACUACCGCAUACCAUCAGAUGUGCCCAGAUGGGAUUAGCUAGUUGGUGGGGGAACGGCUCACCAAGGCGACGAUCCCUAGCUGGUCUGAGAGGAUGACCAGCCAAACUGGAACUGAGACACGGUCCAGACUCCUACGGGAGGCAGCAGUGGGGAAUAUGGCAAAAUGGGCGCAAGCCUGAAGGAGCCAGGCCGCGUGUAUGAAGGAGGCCUUCGGGUUGUAAAGUACUUUCAGCGGGGAGGCGUUACCCGCAGAAGAAGCACCGGCUAACUCCGUGCCAGCAGCCGCGGUAAUAC
rnacentral:rRNA from 1 species